GUUUAUUAAGUUAUUAUUAAUAUUAAUUUUGUAAAUUAAAGAUCAAUUUUUGGAUAAGCU
rnacentral:tRNA from 1 species